CUGGGCACUCACUUCACUCUUAACAACGGUAAAGAGUGCUUUUAGAAAGACGUGGUUGAAAGAGUUAAGGAAAGAAAGAUUCCUUGGUUGCUAGUGGAUUUCUAUUUUGAACGGAAUGGCUGGUCAGACCCCAUUUGCCCACUGGCAAAAGCCUCCCGAGAAAGCCACAUUCUUCUGGUUCCCUCCCAGCCCUCCUUGGCCUGGGUUGUCCUCUGCGGCAUCUUCUAGGCCCAGGGCCGUCUAAUCAGAAGGGUUCCCUCCUUCUGGCCUCACAAAGUUGGUGCUCUCAUCGCUGCGCCUCUGAGUAUCUGCAUUGAGAUACCAGUGCCCAGCUGCACCAGAACUAACAGAUCUGCCACCUACAUUAUCCUCUUACUUGCCUGGGUGACCACCACUGAAGAUGUGGGAAGCACAAAGUUGGGGGAAGAGUUUUCCAUCCUGGCCUCCAGGAGCUUGCAAGUAUAAACAAGCAAUUAAAGGGCAAAGAGCUGAUUACACUGUGUUCAGUGGGACAGGAGCAUGCUUUUCAAUCUCCUUUGUGAACUGAAACCUGAAGGUGAGAAAGCACCUGUGUCUUUGUAUUCUUGUUUCUAGCAUGGCCUUUGUCAUCAACUCUAGUCAUGAACAUGUGCACAGCA
rnacentral:lncRNA from 12 species